GACGGAGGAUGCAAGUGUUAUCCGGAAUCACUGGGCGUAAAGCGUCUGUAGGUGGUCAAAUAAGUCAACUGUUAAAUCUUGAGGCUCAACCUCAAAACCGCAGUCGAAACUAUUAGACUAGAGUAUAGUAGGGGCAAAGGGAAUUUCCAGUGGAGCGGUGAAAUGCGUAGAGAUUGGAAAGAACACCGAUGGCGAAGGCACUUUACUGGGCUAUGACUAACACUCAGAGACGAAAGCUAGGGUAGCAAAUGGG
rnacentral:rRNA from 1 species